rnacentral:lncRNA from 1 species
GGCGGCCGCUCACCUCUACGACAACAGUCUGCAGACCCCCCGUGUGGGCAGAGCCCGACCCCCAGGCCUCUGCUCGCGACACAAAGGCAGCUUCUAGGUCGUGGGAUGUGCCUCCUGCCAUCCGCCAGUGCCCGACCCUCACGCUUCCUUUGUGGAGAAGGGAAAAAAGAUCACACUUAAGCAAAAGUAAACCACAGCCUGAUACUGUGCCAACAACAUUAACCAACUUCUCCUCGGCGCCUUUGAAGUCAGCGGGGGGCAGCACACUUGUGGCGCAAGGAAAGAACGAUCCUUCCCGCCAGGUCCUGCUGGGCGAUCGGUGACUAUUUGCCGGACACUUAAAUGAGCGCUCAGUAAAUGCCCACAGAUGACCACCGCACGGUGUGGGAUACAGAAGGGGAAAGGGGCUUGAAGCCAGAAGGUAAGAACCACAAACGGGACUUUCCCAUCAGCUGAAGAUAGGAAACACCCUGAAGGGGUGAUUUAAUGUUCUCCAAAAGCAUCUCUCGGUUUCACAGAACACAGUUUAAAGACACCUCGCUCUGCUUCGACUAUACUGUAUAACGAAGGCUCUUUCUGCAUUUUUAAAAAUGAAAAUCUGUUGCCUGGACUUGACUUUUCUGCAUCAUUUUCUUCUCCUAAACGCUGCCUGACAGCUGCUGAGAUUCAAACUGAGGUGGCCCCAAGGACUUGAUGAAUUGGCUCGUUCAGGAAUAUUCACUGAGCCCGCAGUGUACCAACUUCCAAGUGUUUUCAAGACACAGAGAUAAAUGGAACGGGGUGUCUGUUAUCAAUCUUCAUGCUGUGUGAGCGAGGA